AACCAUUAAGGUUUGAUUCACAAAUAAUCCUAGGAUAUAGGUCAAAAAGAAGUGAACAAGAUUUGGUGGCUAAAACCAUUAAAGCUUGAUUCAUGGAAGCAUGUCCAAUCUUGGUCAAUGUUCUUGCAAUAAAGCAGACUUUGACUGAGAGAGAAAUUAGUAGAGAGAGAGGAAAGAAACUUUUAUUUACAUCUAGGUUUAAAUACUUGUUUGAGCAUCCUUGUAUCCUGUGAUCGAUACCCCCAAGGCAAAGCCUACACUUUUAUUUAUGCAAGAAUUGAGGUUGGUAAAGGAGAUUGUCAGACAGGAUUUGCUAAGUUGUUGACCGGGAGAAUUUGGUUGCUAGACUAGGAUAUGGCAUAGUGUGCUUCUGAGACUAGUAUUUCCUAAGGUGAUGAUUAUGAGUUUUAAAUCUGUAAGCCCCUGCUAUUUUCAAACCUAUUUCAGAGAGACUGCCUGUAUUUUUUGAUUGAGGACAAGCAAAAGGGUAAGUCUGAGGGAGUUUAUAGGCCAUGGAUUAUACCCACUUUUAGCCAUGGUUUAUAAGUGUUUUAAUAACUAAUUAUUAUGUUUUAGAGUCUAUUUAGUAUAUUUAUAGGAUCAGGAGUGAUUUGGAAGAAAAUGAUGAUUUUGGAGCAUUUUGGAGAUAAUUGAAGAAAACAUCCGAGCUGACCAUCGAGCAAGACCAAUGGCCGACAUUCAGAGACAAUAAUCGAUCGAUGCACAUCCCGUGACAUCGAUCGACGGCGAAGUGCGCAGAAGCCCGUUUGGUUCCAGCCGACUUAGAGCCCAAGACUUCACCAAUUUACAAGAUUACCCCUUACGAGUUUUAACCUAAUAUUUAUAGUUUGCCAACAUGUUAGAGGCAAAGGGUGCUUUCUUGUUUUUUUAUUUUCACAGCAAA
rnacentral:lncRNA from 1 species